AGGUUGUGUCCAGUGUGCUGACACUCUCCGGACCGGGCUUGCAAUGGGGGCGGACCGGGCCAUCCACGUGGAUAAUCCGGGAAGUUUGUACCCGCUUUCCAUUGCGAAGAUUCUUAAAGCUCUUGUUGAAUUUGAAAAGCCUGGUCUUCUUCUAGUUCUACUUGGAAAAUAGGCUAUGAUGCUUGGACUCGGGUACGGAUACGUAUCUAAGUGUCGGAUCUUUUAUUUUUUUAAAUGUAGGAUACGGAGACAUGGCUAAAAAGAGUCUAAAUUUUGGACACGGGCAAUUGACAAUGACUGCAACCAGACAGGCCAAAUGGUUGCUGGGCUUCUCAAAUGGCCUCAAGGGACCUUUGCCUCCAAGGUUAGCAUUGCAGUCCUCAAGCUUUAUAUAAUAUUAGAUGAAAUUCAUCUUUUUCUCAGAAGUAAUAAUGUGAUGAAUACAUGUAUUAAAAUGUUGAUUUUUCUUGAUUCUGAAAAUUUUUGGACUGAUGAAGCCUAUCUUUCUGUCAAUAGGUAUUAGUAUAAUAUUAACACAAGUUACUUGUUGCUGAUCUGAAUUACUAUGUUGUUGAACCCUUUUAAAAUUUACAGUUAGUGCUAAUUUCUUCCUCUUUUUCCCUCGUGUACCCUCUCUUUGAGCUAAUUCAUUUUUCUGGUCAUUUUUGGUUGUGAUCUUUAUUUCCCCUUUUGACUGCCAUCUAGUAAUAAGAGUCACUGAGUCCGGCUGUAAACAAGGAAGAAUCAAAAUACAACAUGGGGAAUAAGUCAAUCAAAUAGUAUGUAUUAAUUUGGGUUUUAAACAAAAUGGAUUGCUUGUCAGAUAAAUUUUUUCCAAACUUGAACCAAGGAGCAGCUUAUCCUUUCUUUUGUAUUGGGAAAACAGCAUAAGAAUGAGAUUUUGUAACUUGACUUCUUUCUAAAGCUUGGAAGAAAAUGAAAUAUGAAUGGCUGCUCUGAUUGUAGUAAGGAAAUAUGUAAAAGUAAUUGUGUGCACUCUCUAACUCUGUCUCAAAAUUUUCUUUAUUCUUAAAUUCCUGCUAGAUAAUUUUUGUGGCGUCCUUGCAGUGAUAUAGAUCUUAUCAUUCAACUGUUGAGUGGCUAAAAUAUGUAUUUGACUAGCCUCUAUGAUUACGCUCUUGUUUAACUUGGUGGCCUUGUGAAUCCAUCAUGACCGUCUUUCUAUAUUCUGUCUACUGACUUUUGCAUGGUAAAGUUACACAAUUAUAAAUAGAAGUAGAUUAUAAUUGUUAUUUAGCAUCAUCAACACAUUUUUACCCUUCUCGAGAAUUUAAGGUUUUAUUUGUUUGAUCAUAUCAUAUGGCAUGUAAUCACUUUCUUGUAGGGGCAAGUAUUUUAACAGGAGUCAAAUCUCUCGAAUCAAAACCAAACCAUAAUUGGAGGUUCAGGUCCAGUUAUUAAACGGACCCAAAUAAUUUUAUUUAUGAAAUACUCAAAGUGUAAGAGGUAGUUCUAGGUAUUAAAAUACCCGGACUGACACCAUCUGACGCCUAGGCCUACUUUCUUGCACAUUAGUGUCCUGAAAAUUGAGCAGAGGGGAAGAGAUGAAAUCCUUUGACCCUUCCAAAGAUAAAGAAGUUUAGCACUAAAAAUUUCCGUCUUUUCAUUGAAUUCUUAAAUCAGGGAAAGCAAUGUUGAUCUGCAAUUUUGGUUGCCUUGUUCAUAUUAUUUACAGCUUCUCUUACCCUUGUGCUCCUCUCUGAUUCCACACAUAAAUUUAUAUGUUCUUUAUAUGUCUUGUCAGUUGUGUACUUUCGAAAGUUCUGGUGCGGCAAACAAAUACAUGCAAAUCUUAAACAUGAACAGCAUUGAUAGAAUUAUUCAAGUAGUUAUGUUACUAGUAAUUUCUUUGACAAAAUUCUGUUAUCACUGUUGUCAUUCACUACAAAUCUCAUAAUCCAAACGUCAGUUGAAGCUUGUCACUCAUGCUCUACCAUCUUCAUUUGUUUUUCAUGGAGCCAGCUGAAGUCUGCUCUUUCAUGGUGUUUGAAAGAUCCCCUUUUCCUUGGUUACAGUCCAUGUGCAUUUGUUCUACUUUCUAUCUAAACUUACAUUUUCCUGAAAAUUAAGAAACAGGUAGUAACGGUGGACAGAGAGGUUGAUGGCGGUCUUGAGACUUUGUGUUUGGAAUUACCUGCAGUAAUCACGUAAACGUUUCUUUCUAUGCUGCUAUAGCUUAUUUUCAGAAGACAUUUUAUAUGUGUAUACAUUCUUUGGUGGAUGCUUUUCCUGAAUUUUAUGUUCUUCUGUUCAAGUCAAGAAAAUGGGAAAAAGGAGUUAAUAAUAUUAAAUUUACUUGCACAAGUCAUGACCAGAGUCCAGUUGCCAGGUGACGUAAACAACUUAGUUUGGAGCAAGUGCCUAAAGGAGUGUGCAAGUAAUGUUUUUAGGUUAUGUUACGUGCAUUUGGAGGGCAAUGGCUUUGAACAAGACAACGAGUCUUUUUUAGACACUGAAAUCUUUGAACACUCGUGGACUUGUCUCUAAUGCUUCUGCCAUUGGAUGUGCUCAUAUCAAUAAUUUCCUUCGUUUUUUACAUUCUGGCCGUAGUCGGACACUUGACAUGUUCGAAUUUAAGCAUAAAUUCCUCAUUUAGUGAAGAAAUUAUCAUAUAGACUUGUGAGC